UCUCCUUUAUAAAUUACCCAGGCUCAGAUUCAGAGCCCCAGCCUGUUCAUAAAAAAAAUCAGAUGAAUUUUGUCUGCGGAACAUUCUGCAAAAAUAUCUGACCAGUAAGUAAUCCUCUAAAUAGCCACAGCCAUCAACAGCAAGGAAAGUCUGAGAAAGUGUCACAGCCAAGAGGACCCUAUAAAGACAUGAUGACUAAAUGUAACAUGGUGUCUUCCAUGGGAUCCUGAAACAGAAAAAGGACAUUAGUCCUAGCUACUCCGGAGGCUGAGGCAGGAGGAUCACCUGAGCCCAGGACUUUGAGGCCGCUGUAAGCUAUGAUCAUGCCACUGCACUCCAGCUCAGGCAACAGUGAGACCCGGUCUCAACAAACAAAAGAAAAUAAAAGAAUGGUAGACAAGGAAAGCAGUUGAACAGCUAUGCGAGAAGCCUACUUUCUCUUCAUGUAACACGUUGGCCUAAGAGAUCUAUAGAGCUUUUUAAAAACAAAGAAGGCAGCAAGAUUUAAAAUAAUAAAACCA
ensembl:lncRNA novel transcript, antisense to CD36